UGUACACCUAAAUCUUUAACAGCUCAAGAAAAUGUCUUACUCCAUAAAAGAAGGUUAGAUUGCAAUCGCAAGAGGCUCUUCAACUUAUUCCCAGGUCUUUAGGGCAGUAAGUGCGAUUGCACAGGCAAUAAGCAGAGCUUGUUCUAGCAUAUGAAACACCUGACAAACUGCCUCCUAUCGGCAGGCAUUUGGGGACCCGUUACUACACCCUCCAUGCUGCACGAGGCCAGACAGGGGCCUCAACAGCCUGAAGACAGUCCUUCUCCUUCAAUGGCUCGACAGCCUUCCGCCCACCAAGUGCAGCACACAGAUCUGCUUCUACCAGUUGCAGGAGACUGGAAGAUUAACGAGAUUUGUUCCCCAACGGUCGUCAACCCAAAGCUUUUGUGGGCCAUGAAUGCUGUCGUGUCCUGCGUGAAACUCUUAUCCUGUUAGACCCUGCCCAGUGUACUGCAUCUGAUAUGGACCACACCUGUUUCACAUGCUGUAUCUGAGUGGAGAGAGAAGAGGAAUGGGAAUUUUGUUUCUUGCCUGCCCCCUCCCUUCCAGGCCAUCUUAACUGGAGACACAUUAAUUAACUGCCUCUCUUAGAGUGGCCCCAUUCUAGGCCUGGUACCCAAAUGUGAACACCAUGAAGAAGCCUCUUUGGGAACGUGCACCUUAAGUCUUCCAGGCCGGGCAAGGUGAAAUCUUUCUUCUGUGUGGGGUCCUUGAAGGGUGCCAAGUAUAUUACAGUGUGGACCAGCAUCGAGAGACCAGAGUUCUAGAACCCACGGUGGGACUUAGAGUGAGUUGCUUCUGCCUGGCUGGUUUCAACAUCAGUCAUUGAGCAUGUUGGACUAGCUCAGUGAUAUGGUUUGGAUCUGUGUCCUGCCCAAAUCUCAUGUUGAAUUGUAAUCCCAGUGUUGGAGGUGGGGCCUGGUGGGAGGUGAUUGGAUCGAGAGGGUGGUUUCCCAUGAAAGGGUUAGCAACAUCCCCAAGUGCUGCUCUCGUGACAGAGUUCUCCUGAGAUCUGGUUGUUUAAAAGGGUGUGGCACCUGCCCCUGCUCUCUCUUUCUCCUUCCCUGUCAUGUGACGUACAGGGUCCCCUUUGCCUUCUGCCAUGAUUGUCAGUUUCCUGAGGCCUCCGCAGAAGCUGAGCAGAGGCUGCCAUGCUUCCCGUACAGCCUGUGGAACCGUGAGCCCAUGAAACCUCUUUUCUUUAUAAACUAUCCAGUCUCAGGUAUUUCUUUAUAGCAGUGCGAGCACGGACGGACACGCUCGGUUCUCCCUAGAUACGCUCAUGGCUCUUUGUCUUUGGUACAUUAGUG
rnacentral:lncRNA from 1 species